UUGGCCCUACGGGGCGCAGCAGUGAGGAAUAUUGGUCAAUGGCCGCAGGGCUGAACCAGCCAAGUCGCGUGAGGGAUGACGGUCCUAUGGAUUGUAAACCUCUUUUGUCAGGGAGCAAAGGGCGCCACGUGUGGCGCUUUGCGAGUACCUGAAGAAAAAGCAUCGGCUAACUCCGUGCCAGCAGCCGCGGUAAUACGGAGGAUGCGAGCGUUAUCCGGAUUUAUUGGGUUUAAAGGGUGCGCAGGCGGGAGAUCAAGUCAGCGGUAAAAUGUCGGGGCUCAACCCCGGCCGGCC
rnacentral:rRNA from 1 species